AAAGGCUAACAGGACCAUCUGUCACUUAAGAUUUAUGAGGGUAUCCUUACAGACACAGAAAGUAAAGCUUUUCACAGUGAAGAACCAUAAAACCUUGGCUAACAGUUAAAACAACUGAAUAACCCUUUCAAUGCUGGCUAGAUCCUCCUAGGCAUAUAGUAUCCUAUUCUCCUGUGAUUUUCAAUUGAAAUACAUUUAAACCAACUCAUUAAUCAUUUCCUGGAACCAUCCAAUAAGAAUAAUCUACCAG